UACGGAGGGUGCGAGCGUUGUCCGGAAUCACUGGGCGUAAAGGGCGCGUAGGCGGCUGUGCAAGUCAGAUGUGAAAGCCCUGGGCUCAACCCAGGAUGUGCAUUUGAUACUGCGCGGCUAGAGUGUCGGAGAGGAUGGUGGAAUUCCCAGUGUAGAGGUGAAAUUCGUAGAUAUUGGGAAGAACACCGGUGGCGAAGGCGACCAUCUGGACGACAACUGACGCUGAGGCGCGAAAGCGUGGGGAGCAAACAGG
rnacentral:rRNA from 1 species